rnacentral:rRNA from 1 species
AGUGAACGCUGGCGGUAGGCCUAACACAUGCAAGUCGAACGGCAGCACAGUAAGAGCUUGCUCUUACGGGUGGCGAGUGGCGGACGGGUGAGGAAUACAUCGGAAUCUACUUUUUCGUGGGGGAUAACGUAGGGAAACUUACGCUAAUACCGCAUACGACCUACGGGUGAAAGCAGGGGAUCUUCGGACCUUGCGCGAUUGAAUGAGCCGGUGUCGGAUUAGCUAGUUGGCGGGGUAAAGGCCCACCAAGGCGACGAUCCGUAGCCGGUCUGAGAGGAUGAAACGGCCAAAUGUGAACGAGAACAGGCCCAGAACACUAAGGGGAGGCGCAGUGGGGAAUAUUUCGAAAUAGAGGAAAGGCUUGAUGAGCCCCUCCGCGAGAGGGAAGAAGGGCCUACGGGUGUAAAGGCCGGUUAAUCGGGACAGAAAGCCUUCAUGUUAAUAGUGAGAAGGUUUGACGGUACCGAAAUAGAAAGCAACGGCUAACUUCGUG